GAUGAACGCUGGCGGCGUGCCUAACACAUGCAAGUCGAGCGAACAGAUGAGGAGCUUGCUCCUCUGACGUUAGCGUCGGACGGGUGAGUAACACGUGGAUAACCUACCUAUAAGACUGGGAUAACUUCGUGAAACCGGAGCUAAUACCGGUCAAUAUAUUGAACCGCAUGGUUCAAUAGUUCAACACGGCUUUGCUGUCACUUAUAGAUGGAUCCGCGCCGCAUUAGCUAGUUGGUAAGGUAACGGCUUACCAAGGCAACGAUGCGUAGCCGACCUGAGAGGGUGAUCGGCCACACUGGAACUGAGACACGGUCCAGACUCCUACGGGAGGCAGCAGUAGGGAAUGUUGGGCAAUGGGCGAAAGCCUGACGCAGCAACGCCGCGUGAGUGAUGAAGGUCUUCGGAUCGUAAAACCCUGUUAUUAGGGAAGAAGAGAUGUCUAAGUAAGUAUGGACGUCUUGACGGUACCUAAUGAAAAAGCCCCGGCUAACUACGUG
rnacentral:rRNA from 1 species